UACGUAGGGUGCGAGCGUUGUCCGGAAUUAUUGGGCGUAAAGAGCUCGUAGGCGGUCUGUCGCGUCGAAUGUGAAAAACCCGGGGCUCAACUCCGGGCUUGCAUUCGAUACGGGCAGGCUAGAGUUCGGUAGGGGAGUCUGGAAUUCCUGGUGUAGCGGUGAAAUGCGCAGAUAUCAGGAGGAACACCGGUGGCGAAGGCGGAACUCUGGGCCGAUACUGACGCUGAGGAGCGAAAGCGUGGGGAGCGAACAGG
rnacentral:rRNA from 1 species